rnacentral:rRNA from 1 species
CCCUUAGAUGUUCUGGGCUGCACGCGCGCUACACUGAAGCGUUCAACGAGUAUUCACCUUGCCCGGGAGGGUUGGGUAAUCUUUUGAAAACGCUUCGUGAUGGGGAUAGAUUAUUGCAAUUAUUAAUCUUCAACGAGGAAUUCCUAGUAAGCGCGAGUCAUCAGCUCGUGCUGAUUACGUCCCUGCCCUUUGUACACACCGCCCGUCGCUCCCACCGAUUGAGUGAUCCGGUGAAUAAUUCGGACUGCAGCACUGCUUGGUCUCCAGGCUUUGCAGCGGAAAGUUUAGUGAACCUUAUCACUUAGAGGAAGGAGAANUCGUANCA